rnacentral:rRNA from 1 species
AACGAACGCUGGCGGCACGCCUCAUACAUGCAAGUCGAGCGCGAAACCACCUUCGGGUGAUGUAGAGCGGCGAACGGGUGAGUAACAGGUGGGUAAUCUGCCCUUUGGCGGGGGACGAACAGCUGGAAACGGCUGCUAAUACCGCAUGUGAUUGUGGACUUAUGGUCUGCAAGGAAAGGCGCCUCAAAGCGCCACCAAAGGAUGAGCCCGCCCCCCCAUUAGCUAGUUGGUGAGAUAACAGCUCACCAAGGCAUCGAUGGGUAGCCGAGCUGAGAGGUUGAUCGGCCACACUGGAACUGAGACACGGUCCAGACACCUACGGGUGGCAGCAGUAGGGAAUAUUGCGCAAUGGGCGAAAGCCUGACGCAGCGAUGCCGCGUGAGUGACGAAGGUCUUAGGAUUGUAAAGCUCUUUUCUGAGGGAAGAAUAGGUCUGGUAGGAAAUGAACUGGAUUCUGACGGUACCUCAGGAAUAAGGAACGGCUAAC